AUUGAACGCUGGCGGCAGGCUUAACACAUGCCAGUCGAGCGAGCGGCGGACGGGUGAGUAAUGUCUGGGAAACUGCCUGAUGGAGGGGGAUAACUACUGGAACCGGUAGCUAAUACCGCAUACCCUCAGAUGUGCCCAGAUGGGAUUAGCUAGUAGGGGGGGUAAUGGCUCACCUAGGCGACGAUCCCUAGCGGGUCUGAGAGGAUGACCAGCCACACUGGCACUGAGACACGGUCCAGACUCCUACGGGAGGCAGCAGUGGGGAAUAUUGCACAAUGGGCGCAAGCCUGAUGCAGCCAUGCGGCGGGUGUGAAGAAGGCCUUCGGGUUGUAAAGCACGUUCAGCGAGGAGGCGUUACUCGCAGAAGAAGCACCGGCUAACUCCGUGCCAGCAGCCGCGGUAAUAC
rnacentral:rRNA from 1 species